rnacentral:rRNA from 1 species
AACGAACGCUGGCGGCAUGCCUAACACAUGCAAGUCGAACGAACCCUUCGGGGUUAGUGGCGCACGGGUGCGUAACGCGUGGGAAUCUGCCCUUUGCUUCGGAAUAACUCAGGGAAACUUGUGCUAAUACCGGAUGAUGUCUUCGGACCAAAGAUUUAUCGGCAAGGGAUGAGCCCGCGUAGGAUUAGGUAGUUGGUGGGGUAAAGGCCUACCAAGCCGACGAUCCUUAGCUGGUCUGAGAGGAUGAUCAGCCACACUGGGACUGAGACACGGCCCAGACUCCUACGGGAGGGAGCAGUGGGGAAUAUUUGACAAUGGGCGCAAGCCUGAUCCAGCAAUGCCGCGUGAGUGAUGAAGGCCCUCGGGUCGUAAAGCUCUUUUACCAGGGAUGAUAAUGACAGUACCUGGAGAAUAAGCUCCGGCUAACUCCGUG